rnacentral:rRNA from 1 species
UACAGAGGGUGCAAACGUUGUUCGGAUUUACUGGGCGUAAAGCGCGUGUAGGCUGCUUCGCAAGUCGGAUGUGAAAGCCCUGGGCUCAACCCAGGAAGUGCAUUCGAAACUGCAGAGCUGGAGUCCUGGAGAGGAAGGCGGAAUUCUCGGUGUAGAGGUGAAAUUCGUAGAUAUCGAGAGGAACACCGGUGGCGAAGGCGGCCUUCUGGACAGUGACUGACGCUGAGACGCGAAGCGUGGGAGCAAACAGG